GAUGAACGCUGGCGGCGUGCCUAAUACAUGCAAGUCGAGCGAACGGACGAGAAGCUUGCUUUUCUGAUGUUAGCGGCGGACGGGUGAGUAACACGUGGAUAACCUACCUAUAAGACUGGGAUAACUUCGGGAAACCGGAGCUAAUACCGGAUAAUAUUUUGAACCGCAUGGUUCAAAAGUGAAAGACGGUCUUGCUGUCACUUAUAGAUGGAUCCGCGCUGCAUUAGCUAGUUGGUAAGGUAACGGCUUACCAAGGCAACGAUGCAUAGCCGACCUGAGAGGGGAAAGGGCAAAAAUGGAACUGAGAAACGGUCAAGACCCCUAAGGGGGGCAGCAGGAGGGAAUCUUCCGCAAGGGGCGAAAGCCUGACGGAGCAACGCCGGGUGGGUGAUGAAGGUCUUCGGAUAGUAAAACGUUGUUAUUAGGGAAAAAAAAAUGUGUAAGUAAAUGUGAACAUCUGGACGGUACCAAAUAAGAAAGCCACGGAUAACUAGGU
rnacentral:rRNA from 1 species